AGAAUACAACUUAGCUCAUAUGAUACAAAUUGAACCUUGAAUAUUAUUAUAUUUUGAAGUACAAUACAAAUAAAAAAUACAUUUUUUCGAUGUAUUUGUCAUAGAAUUUUGAAUAUUACUAUGAUUGUAAAUUUGUAUGUUUGGUGGAUGAUUAGAAUACAAUUUUAUUGAAAUACAAUUUAGAUAUGGACAACGUUAGUUUUUUUCUGGCCAUGCAUUUGGGAAGAUGGGAUGAAAUAAUUACAGCUAUUAUGAUGAAAAAGUAUGCAACAUUUAGAGAUUUAGUGGAGGAAGUUGUUAAAUAAAUUAGUGUUGAUUUGACAUACAAUUGUAUGAAGUUGAAGUAUAAGAUCGAAGGUAGCAAUGCACCAUUGAAAAUACACAACGAGAUGAGUGUAAGAGUGUAUGUGUGUUAAAGAAAGAUAGCAGGAAUUGUCAAAGUAUCCCCUACGUGUAACUGUAUUUGUGAAGGAUUGUGAAUUGUUUGAUAGAAAUCUUCAGGAACAAGGGGUAGGUAUGUGUGGAUUAGAUGCAGAUAAUACAUCUGAUAAAACAAACAUUAGUGCUUAGUGUGUCAUUCGUGAGCGAUGUGAUCAGCUGCGAAAAGAAAAGGUAAUGGUAGAUCAAGUUUAUAAAGACAAGGCAACAACAAAGGCUGUGAUGACACAUAUGCCAUUGAACAGAGAUUUCAGUGGAAAUGUUUGUGCUUUCGUCAUCCGGUAGCUAUGGCGGCAGAAAGAAUAGAUCAUACUCAUCACAUAUAUGUGCAUCCUUCAGACUAGAUGGUAUACUAAACCCAGUCCAAUUGAAAGGAUUUGAGAAUUAUGGGCAAUGGCGUAGUCCAAUGCGAAUUGCAUAGCAGGCUAAGACGAAAUUAGGGCUUGUUACAGGUGCGUAUAAGAAGGAUUCAUUUUGUGAGGAACAUCAUGAACAUUGGGAAACUUGCAGUGCUUUGGUUCUAUCUUGGAUCAUGAAUACAAUUUGCAAAUGCUCGACAAGGAGAAUGCAAAUAAGGGAACUACUGCAGUCUGCAGCUGCAACCAACACAACAGGUACCAUUACAGCCUUAAAUGUUAAUGAUGUGUUGAAUAGGUGGAUAGUGGAUAUGGGGUAAACACAUGGCAUCAGCCCUAGCUGUUUUGUACACUGCUUGUGAACAACGACAUCAAAAGGACCUUCUCACUGUGCCUCAACUUCAGCUUCAAUUGUCGUCACCAAGCCUGAUGCGGAGCUAUGGCACAAGAGGAUUGGAAAGAUUCCAGUAGAGCUCUACAAUAAAUGUCCCUCAUAAAAUCAACUAGUCUUAAUAAGAACCUCUCUUGUUCUAUUUUUCCACUUGCAAAGCAAACAAGACUUUCUUUCACCGUUAAUGUCAGUAGAGCUAGUAAUCCUUUUGAUUUAGUCAUGGAGAUGUUUUAGGUCCUUAAAAAACUCCCACAUAUGAUGUGAAUAUAGUUUUUCUUACAAUAGUAGAUGAUUAUAGUAGGAUGGCUUGGUUGUUCUUAUUGAAACUCGAGAGUGAUGUUAAUACUGUAGUAUGAAACUCGAGAGUGAUGUUAAUACUGUAGUAAAAAAGUUCUUGUUGCUAAUAAAAAUCAGCUUGCUAUU